CCUACGGGAGGCAGCAGUCGGGAAUUUUGCGCAAUGGACGAAAGUCUGACGCAGCAACGCCGCGUGAGGGAUGACGGCCUUCGGGUUGUAAACCUCUUUCAGCGGGGACGAAGGGCAACUGACGGUACCCGCAGAGGAAGCACCGGCUAACUACGUGCCAGCAGCCGCGGUAAU
rnacentral:rRNA from 1 species